CAUGGUUUUAUUUAUCUUAACCUGUGUACAUACAUACAUCACCGGCCAAAAUGCCAUAUAAAUAGUGCCCACAAGCUUAACCAAAGCAGCAGAGCUAUUUCAACGUUCAAACUAAUCUCAUUUACUCCACGCGAGAAAAUUUCAAACCAAAAAAUUCAAUCAUUUCACACCUCAGAAAUUUUUUAAAUAAGACAAAUCUCUGGUUUUCCCGAAGAAAAUAUGAAGUUCACAAUCACCGCAAUCUUCUUGGCGUUAACUUUGGUCUCCGCACUUGCCUGUGACUGCGACUACCGGCCGAAGGGAUGCAUCAUUUCUGUCGCACCGGAAGCCGGACAUAAGUGCCACUGCGUGUACAAGGGGUCCUGGGUCUGCGGGGGGUACGAGGUUGAAUGCAGCCCGGGAGAAAACUGCCCGGGAGAUUGCACAUCGAAGGAAUGUUGCACAACUGGUGAGGGCGAUUGUGGUGGAUAUUAAAGAGGACACAUUAUUUCUCAGGGGGGGGGGGAAUAUGCACAUUGUUAUUUGCUUUGCACAUGUUAUUAUUAUUAAAAUUUUUUACGUAUGUAUCGCUUGAAUAAAUAUGUGAAAUGAUGUGCACAUGUUGCUAAUUUGUGUGAUUCAUAAAUAAAUACGUAAUUACAAAAACU